rnacentral:tRNA from 1 species
GCCCUUGGUGGCUCAGGUGGAUAGAGCGUCUGCCAUGUAAGCAGAAGAUCCCGGGUUCGAGUCCCGGUCGGGGCA